UGGACCUUGUGCCGUUCCGAGUGCUUGGGGAUGCAACAAAACAGUGCAUCUUCGGAGAAGAGUACUACAAAAAGUCUGAUGCACAGCACAAAAAAGACACAACUGCAGACUGGCAAGCCAUCAAAAAGAAAAGGCUGCAGCUGCAGGGAACUAAAAAGAAAGGAUGUCGAGCCGUAAUGAACUUCAAGUACAUUGAACUGUAUCCCAAAAGCAAGGUAGGUUAUAAAUGUGCUGACUUUUUAAAGUGUAAGCAUGUAUUUCCACGCCCAUGAGCUGGCAUGAUAUGUACUCAUGAUGUCUAGCUGAGGCAAAUAUAUAUUUGAAACUAAGGACUUUUUUCCUAGGUUGAGCUGCCCCAGCCAUGUGGACGGAUAAAAAAGAAUAACAUGAAGGCCGACACAGCGAGGGAGUUGGAAGAAGAUCUCCGAUGUGGGGAAAGUAUUGAUACUGAGAAAAGAAUAUAUAUAGCAAUUUCAGACUUUUGUGUGCAUACCAACCAUGGUUUUGGUGAAAUUGAAGCAUUCAGCCAAACUGUCGACAAAGAUGUAGUACUGCGUAUCCAUGACCUUGUGCGAGAGGGUAUCACAUCUGUGUCGGACAUAGAUAAAUGUCUGCGGUACUAUGUGCAUGAUGUGCUUUUUGCCGAAAAAGAAAAACCGAACAGCAGCAGCAGGGCAUACUUCCCAACACAUGCAGACAUCAACAAUCAUGUGCAAGCUGCACUUAAGAAAGACCGGUUCAAUACAGUUGACCAAGAAAAUGCUGCUAUUUUAACCAAAAA